AUGAACGCUGACAGAAUGCUUAACACAUGCAAGUCAACUUGAACUUCGGUUUGGGUGGCGGCCGGGUGAGUAACGCGUAAAGAACUUGCCUCACAGCUAGGGACAACAUUUGGAAACGAAUGCUAAUACCUGAUAUUAUGAUUUUAGGGCAUCCUAGAAUUAUGAAAGCUAUAUGCGCUGUGAGAGAGCUUUGCGUCCCAUUAGCUAGUUGGAGAGGUAACGGCUCACCAAGGCGAUGAUGGGUAGCCGGCCUGAGAGGGUGAACGGCCACAAGGGGACUGAGACACGGCCCUUACUCCUACGGGAGGCAGCAGUGGGGAAUAUUGGACAAUGGACCAAGAGUCUGAUCCAGCAAUUCUGUGUGCACGAUGAAGUUUUUCGGAAUGUAAAGUGCUUUCAGUUGGGAAGAAAAAAAUGACGGUACCAACAGAAGAAGUGACGGCUAAAUACGUG
rnacentral:rRNA from 1 species